rnacentral:rRNA from 1 species
GAGGCGAACCGGGGGAACUGAAACAUCUAAGUACCCCGAGGAAAAGAAAUCAACCGAGAUUCCGAAAGUAGCGGCGAGCGAAAUUGGACUAGCCCUUAAGCUUUACACGCGUUAGACGAACGGUCUGGAAAGUCCGACGAUACAGGGUGAUAGUCCCGUAGUUGACGACGUGUGUUCAGUGAAAUCGAGUAGGGCGGGACACGUGAUAUCCUGUCUGAAUAUGGGGGGACCAUCCUCCAAGGCUAAAUACUACUGACUGACCGAUAGUGAACCAGUACCGUGAGGGAAAGGCGAAAAGAACCCCUGUGAGGGGAGUGAAAUAGAACCUGAAACCGUGUACGUACAAGCAGUAGGAGCAGGCUUUGUCCUGUGACUGCGUACCUUUUGUAUAAUGGGUCAGCGACUUAUAUUCAGUGGCAAGGUUAACCAUCUAGGGGAGCCGUAGGGAAACCGAGUCUUAACUGGGCGUUCAGUCUCUGGAUAUAGACCCGAAACCAGGUGAUCUAGCCAUGGGCAGGUUGAAGGUUGAGUAACAUCAACUGGAGGACCGAACCGACUAAUGUUGAAAAAUUAGCGGAUGACUUGUGGCUAGGGGUGAAAGGCCAAUCAAACCUGGAGAUAGCUGGUUCUCCCCGAAAGCUAUUUAGGUAGCGCCUCGGACGAAUACUACUGGGGGUAGAGCACUGUUAAGGCUAGGGGGUCAUCCCGACUUACCAACCCUUUGCAAACUCCGAAUACCAGUAAGUACUAUCCGGGAGACACACGGCGGGUGCUAACGUCCG